GGGGAUGAUCGGUUUCGACGACGGUCGUCGAUCGAAGGGAAGCGGGCCGAGGAUGUUCGCUCAACUCGUUAACGAUGCGUUCGAACCAAUAGGUGCCGAACAGAAUCGCACCGACUACGUUCUCGCCGCCUGAUAUCGCCGCGUGAACCCUUAGUCCGUCAGCCCAGGUGGUGCUCCCAGCCUGGUGUCUGGCGUCGUUCUGGGAGCCACUGGUCGCGUGCCGUGUCGAUGAGCACGCUUCAACACUUAGUCGACUGAGCCUACUGGCAGCAGGUCUGCAUGACGUCAGGGGCUGAGAAAUAAAACAGCAGACUGCGCCCGGAGAAGACUUCGGGGCCGGCCGUCGGACCGGGGUUCGAUUCCCCGCAUCUCCACUG
rnacentral:tmRNA from 1 species